AGCAGAACUUAAUUACUUUUUUUUUUUCUUGAGAUGGAGUCUUGCUCUGUCGCCCAGGCUGGAGUGCAGUGGCACGACCUCAGCUCACUGCAACCUCCAUCUCCCGGGUUCAAGUGAUUCUCCUGCCUCAGCCUCCUGAGCAGCUGGGAUUGGGAUUAUUACAGACAGUUGCCACCACGCCCGGCUUUUUUUUUUUUUUUUUCUUUUUUGAGACGGAGUCUCGCUCUGUCGCCCAGGCUGGAGUGCAGUGGCGCCAUCUCGGCUCACUGCAAGCUCCGCCUUUCGGGUUCACGCCAUUCUCCUGCCUCAGCCUCCCGAGUAGCUGGGACUACAGGCGCCUGCCACUGCGCCCAGCUAAUUUUUUGUAUUUUUAGUAGAGACGGGGUUUCACCGUGGUCUCGAUCUCCUGACCUUGUGAUCCGCCCGCCUCGGCCUCCCAAAGUGCUGAGAUUACGGGCGUGAGCCACCACGCCCAGCCCCUCCAGCUUUUUUUGAGAGGAGUCUGACUGCGAUGCCCAGGCUGGAGUGCAAUGGCGCUAUCUUGGCUCACUGCAACCUUUGCUUUCCGGUUCAAGAGAUUGUCCGCCUCAGCUUCCCCAAUAGCUAGGACUACAUGCGUGCGCCACCAUGCCCGGCUGAUUUUUGUAUUUUUAGGAGAGACGGGGUUUCACCACGUUGUCCAGGCUGAUUUCAAACUCCUGACCUCAGGUGAUCUGCCCGACUUGGCCUCCCAAAGUGCUGGGAUUACAGGCAUGAGCCACCAUGCCCGGCCAGGAUGCUGUUUUUGUUUCUUCGUUUGUUUUGUUUAGUUUUUGAGACAGAAUCUCCCUCAGUCGUCCAGGUUGGAGUGCAGUGGUGAGAUCACAGUUCACUGCAGCUUCCAUCAAACUCUUGGGUUCCAUUGAUCCUCUUGCCUCAGCCUCCCAAGUACCUGGCACUACAGGUGCACACCACCGCACCCGGCUAAUUUUUUUUUUUUUUUUUUUUUUUUUGUGGAGACGGGGUUUCCCUAUCCUGCCCAGGCUGGUCUUACAUUCCUAGGCUCAAGUUAUUCACCCGCCGCAGCCUCCCAAAGUGCUAACCACCACGCCCUACCUUUGGCACCCUUGUUGACAACCAAUUGAUCAUAAAUGUGGUUUGUUUCUGGAUUCUUGAUUCUAUUCCAUUGAUGUAUCUAUUACUUAUUUAUUUAUUUAGAAACGGAGUCUUGCUCUUCUUGCCCAGGCUAGAGUGCAAUGGUGCGAUCUUGGCUCACUGCCAUCUCUACCUCCCGGGCUCAAGUGAUUCUCCUGCCCCAGGGUCCCAAGUAGCUGGGAUUACAGGCACCCACCACCACGUCCGGCUAAAUUUUUGUAUUUUUAGUAGAGACAGGGUUUCACCAUGUUGGCGAGGCUGGUCUCGAACUCCUGACCUCAGGUGAUCUGCCCUCUUGACCUCCCAAAGUGCUAGGAUUACAGGCAUGAACCACUGCGUCCUGCCUGUUAUUCCUUUUCAAUAUUCUUUUGCCUACUCUGGGUCUUUUGAGUUUCCAGUUGUCAUCUUUCUUGUCAAUCUUUGUGAAAAUGAAUCACUACCUUUAAUUUUACAUCGUUGAGACCACCGCAAUUUUUUUUUUUUUUUUUUGAGACGGAGUCUUGCUCUGUUGCCCAGGCUGGAGUGCAGUGGUGUGAUCUCGGCUCACUGCAAUCUCUAUCUCCCGGGUUCACGCCAUUCUCCUGCCUCAGCCUCCCGAGUAGCUGGGCCUACAGGCGCCCGCCACCAAGUCCGGCUAAUUUUUUGUAUUUUUAGUAGAGACAGGGUUUCACCGUGUUAGCCAGGUUGGUCUCAAUCUCCUGACCUUGUGAUCUGCCUGCCUCGGCCUCCCAAAGUUCUGGGAUUACAGGCGUGAGCCACCACGCCCGGCCGCAAUUAUUAUUAUUAUAAUUAUUUUGAGGGGGACUCUCGCUCUGUUGCCCAGGCUGGAGUGCAAUGGUGCGAUCUCGGCUCGCUGCAAAUCUGCCUCCGGGUUCAAGCGAUUCUUCCGCCUUAGGCUCCCGAGUAGCUGGGAUUACAGGUGCGCACCACCACCCCGGCUAAUUUUUUAAUUUUUUAAAUUUUUUUUUUUUUUUUUGAGACGGAGUUUCGCUCUUCUUGCCUAGGCUGGAGUGCAAUGGCGCGAUGUCAGCUCACUGCAACUUCUGCUGUGGGCGGCAAGCCACCCAGGCGCCGAGGCAAGAGACUGAGGACACAAGCUGUUCCAGUAUAAUAAAAUAUAAAACAAGAAUAGUUAUACCAGAUAUAGAUCUUAGACAUGAUUAUAUAUGAAUAUCAUUAAUCAUUAGUUUGUAGUAAUUACUCUUUAUCCCAAUAUUAUAAUAAUCCCCGCUCUAUAAUCAUAACCUAGGAAAAACCAGGCCAUACAGAGAUAGUGUAGCAGGACGAGUCGCAGACAAAACUCCUCAGACACCGGAUUAAAGAAGGAAGAGGUUUUUUUAUUCGGCCGGGAGCGUCAGCAGACUCGUGUCUUAAGAGCCGAGCUCCCUGAAAAAGAAAUUCCUAGCCCUUUUAAGGGCUUACAACUCUAAGGGGUCUACGUGAAAAAGUCGUAAUAGAUCAAGUAAGCAUGAGGAACGUGACUGGGGGCUACAAACAUCAGUUAACAGAACAAAAAGUUUUAUAGUGCUUUCUCAUACAAUGUCUGGAAUUUACAGAUAACACCAGUAGUUUUGGUCAGGGGUUAAUAAUAAUAUUAUUAUUUUAGCCACCAGGGCCGGGUGGUGGCGCCAAGGUCGUCUAGCUAUUUAUCUUACUUCUGUUUCUUUCCAACUUUUUGCUUUCUCUCUUUUCUCCUGUCUUAUAAACUAGGGAAAAGGGGAGGUUGGGGAGAAACUGGGAAGGACAACAGGAGAAGUGGUGGCCUCAUACCAUAAUAGGAGCUGAGGGGACACAGUGAGGUGUGACCAGAAGACAAGAGUGCGAGCCUUCUGUUAUGCCCGGACAGGGCCACCAGAGGGCUCCUUGGUCUAGCGGUGACGCCAGCGUCUGGGAAGACACCCGUUGCCAGGGGGACCAUGGUCUAGCUGUAGCGAAAAGUGUCAAGGAACAACACCCGCUACUUAGCAGACCAGGAAAGGGGGGGGGGGUCUCCCUUUCCCCGGGGGAGUUUAGAGAAGACUCUGCUCCUCCACCUCUUGUGGAGGGCCUGACAUCAGUCAGGCUUGCCCACAGUUAUCCGGAGACCUAACCGUCUCCCUGUGAUGCUGUGCUUCAGUGGUCAUGCUCCUAGUCUGCCUUCAUGUUCCAUCCUGUACACCUGGCUCUGCCUUCUAGAUAGCAGUAGAAAAUUAGUGAAAGUACUGAAAGUCUCUGAUAUGCAGAAAUAAUGGUGUAAGCUGUCUUUCUCUUUGUCUCCUCUCUCUCUCUGCCUCGGCUGCCAGGCAGGGAAGGGCCCCCUGUCCAGUGGACACAUGACCCACGUGACGUUACCUAUCAUUGGAGAUGACUCACACUCUUUACCCUGCCCCUUUUGCUUGCAUCCAGUAAAUAACAGUGCAGCCAGACAUUCGGGGCCGCUACCGGUCUCCGCACAUUGGUGGUAGUCGUCCCCCGGGCCCAGCUGUCUUUUCUUUUAUCUCUUUGUCUUGUGUCUUUAUUUCUACACUCUCUCAUCGCCGCACACGGGGAGAGACCCACAGACCCUGUGGGGCUGGUCCCUGCACUCUGCCUCCCGGAUUCAAGUGAUUCUCCUGCCUCAGCCUCCUGAGUAGCUGGGAUUACAGGCAUGCGCCACCACGCCCGGCUAGUUUUGGAUUUUUAGUAGAGUCUGAGUUUCUCCAUGUUGGUCAGGCUGCUCUCUAACUUCCGACCUCAGGUGAUCCACCCACCUUGGCCUCCGAAAGUGCUGAGAUUACAGACGUAAGCCACCCCUCCCGGUCUUAAUUUUAAUUUUUACUAGAGACGUGGUCUCCCUAUGUUCCCCAGGCUGGUCUCAAACUCCUGAGCUCAAGCGAUUCUCUCUCCUUGGCCUCCCAAAGCAUUGGGAAACAGACGUGAGCCACCCCAGUCAACCUCCUUUUGGGAUUCUUGCAACUUUUCUGUAGGUGAGAAAUUAUGUCAAAGUAGAAGCUAGAUAAAGGAAUACUCCCUUCAUCCCCUGAGCAUUCCACGAGGUGAAAUCCUCCUUUUCCCAUUGGCCCAGCCACCGCCCAGCCCGUGGCCAUUGGUCCAGCCCUCGCCCAUUGGUCCAGCCCCGGCCCAUCCCUCGUCCAUUAGUCCAGCCCUUGCCAUUGGUCCAACCCAUCCAUUGGUUCAGCCCCGCCCAUUGGUACCGCCCCCUUCCAUUGGCUCAGACCCCGUCCUUU
rnacentral:lncRNA from 1 species